rnacentral:lncRNA from 1 species
AUCACCAAAGAAGUUUACCUUCUUAAUGAUCUUUCUGGCCAGGCAGUUAGAGGUGAAAUCAUGGCCAUCUUGGGGCCUAGCGGGGCUGGAAAAUCCACGUUUCUGGACGCCUUGGCUGGGAGGAUUGCUCGUGGAAGUCUUGAGGGGUCUGUCAAAAUCAAUGGAAAGCCGGUUAGUUUAUUCAUCAUCUGAUCUCAGAAAACAUCAUUUUUCAAGAACAGUAGGACGAUACUCACAAGGAUUAAUGGUUUUUCAGGUUUCCGCAAGCUAUAUGAAGAUGGUUUCUUCUUAUGUAAUGCAAGAUGAUCAGCUCUUUGCCAUGUUGACAGUCUUUGAGACCCUCAUGUUUGCAGCUGAGGUUAGGCUUCCUCCUUCAAUUUCCAGAUCAGAGAAGAGAAAACGAGUUUUCGAGCUCAUUGAUCAACUGGGCUUACAGGUAUGAGAAUUAUGAAUGAGUCUUCUUUUGCAAACUACCAAAAAAAAACAGCUGAUAACUUCAUUGAUCUGCAAAUAGAGUGCAACCCAUAC